rnacentral:rRNA from 1 species
UUGAACGCUGGCGGCAGGCCUAACACAUGCAAGUCGAGCGGUAGCACAGAGAGCUUGCUCUCGGGUGACGAGCGGCGGACGGGUGAGUAAUGUCUGGGAAACUGCCUGAUGGAGGGGGAUAACUACUGGAAACGGUAGCUAAUACCGCAUAACGUCGCAAGACCAAAGUGGGGGACCUUCGGGCCUCAUGCCAUCAGAUGUGCCCAGAUGGGAUUAGCUAGUAGGUGGGGUAACGGCUCACCUAGGCGACGAUCCCUAGCUGGUCUGAGAGGAUGACCAGCCACACUGGAACUGAGACACGGUCCAGACUCCUACGGGAGGCAGCAGUGGGGAAUAUUGCACAAUGGGCGCAAGCCUGAUGCAGCCAUGCCGCGUGUGUGAAGAAGGCCUUCGGGUUGUAAAGCACUUUCAGCGGGGAGGAAGGCGAUAAGGUUAAUAACCUUGUCGAUUGACGUUACCCGCAGAAGAAGCACCGGCUAACUCCGUGCCAGCAGCCGCGGUAAUACGGAGGGUGCAAGCGUUAAUCGGAAUUACUGGGCGUAAAGCGCACGCAGGCGGUCUGUCAAGUCGGAUGUGAAAUCCCCGGGCUCAACCUGGGAACUGCAUUCGAAACUGGCAGGCUAGAGUCUUGUAGAGGGGGGUAGAAUUCCAGGUGUAGCGGUGAAAUGCGUAGAGAUCUGGAGGAAUACCGGUGGCGAAGGCGGCCCCCUGGACAAAGACUGACGCUCAGGUGCGAAAGCGUGGGGAGCAAAAAGGAUUAGAUACCCUGGUAGUCCACGCCGUAAACGAUGUCGAUUUGGAGGUUGUGCCCUUGAGGCGUGGCUUCCGGAGCUAACGCGUUAAAUCGACCGCCUGGGGAGUACGGCCGCAAGGUUAAAACUCAAAUGAAUUGACGGGGGCCCGCACAAGCGGUGGAGCAUGUGGUUUAAUUCGAUGCAACGCGAAGAACCUUACCUGGUCUUGACAUCCACAGAACUUUCCAGAGAUGGAUUGGUGCCUUCGGGAACUGUGAGACAGGUGCUGCAUGGCUGUCGUCAGCUCGUGUUGUGAAAUGUUGGGUUAAGUCCCGCAACGAGCGCAACCCUUAUCCUUUGUUGCCAGCGGUUAGGCCGGGAACUCAAAGGAGACUGCCAGUGAUAAACUGGAGGAAGGUGGGGAUGACGUCAAGUCAUCAUGGCCCUUACGACCAGGGCUACACACGUGCUACAAUGGCAUAUACAAAGAGAAGCGACCUCGCGAGAGCAAGCGGACCUCAUAAAGUAUGUCGUAGUCCGGAUUGGAGUCUGCAACUCGACUCCAUGAAGUCGGAAUCGCUAGUAAUCGUAGAUCAGAAUGCUACGGUGAAUACGUUCCCAGGCCUUGUACACACCGCCCGUCACACCAUGGGAGUGGGUUGCAAAAGAAGUAGGUAGCUUAACCUUCGGGAGGGCGCUUACCACUUUGUGAUUCAUGACUGGGGUG